ACCGAAGGCUCAAUGAUUGUCUUUGCACUUAAUUGUCGAGGAAUGGGUCGUUCCUCGACUCGGCGUGAAGCCGUGAACUGCGUUCACUGAUAAAGUUACGUUGACCUGAUGUUCUCUUUCUCUUUGAAACCAAACUUGAAUCUUUUAAUUUUCUAUCCUUCACACGCCAAUGUGGUUUUGCUGAGUUUGUUUCUAUCCCUUCUUCGAAUAGUGCCGGUGGGCUGUUAUUAUGUUGGAGGAGAUCCAUUUCUCUUACUCUUAUAUGGUGUUCUAAUUGGUGCUUACAUUCUGAAAUCACUUCUUCGGAUGGAGCUUACACCUUCCUUUUAUCUACUGUUUAUAUUAAUGCUUAUCCUGCAGCUAGGAGGAAUCAAUUAGCUUCUCUUCUUGAUCCAUCUCAGUUCAUUGAGGCUCCAUGGAUGCUUAUCGGUGAUUGGAACUCAUGUCUUUCUCCAUCAGAGAAACGUGGGGGUCGUCCUCUUACACGUGCUCAACUUCAACCAUUUUGCAAUUUUGUUGCCUUGGCGGGUCUUAUGGAUAUUCCAUUUUCUGGCUAUCGUUGCACUUGGGACAACAGAAGGUUUGGUGCUGCCCGUAUUGAAGAACGUAGUGAUAGAGUUUUAUCUUCUGCUGAGUGAUUGAACAAAUUUCCCCAAGCUAAGCUUACUCACCUUCCUGUCUCUAGCUCGGAUCAUAAAGCUCUACUUUUAUCGACGCAUACUGCAUCGCCUAAGCUUCCUCAUCCUUUUAGAUUUGAGUCUUUCUGGACUCUUGAGCCUUCCUUCUCUGGCUUGGUGGAGAACGCUUGGUAAUCUUAAUCUUAGAUUAUCUAAAUAUAAGCAAGAGCUUACUUCUUUGCAAAGCGUUCCGUUCUCAGAGAGUGAUGUUGCUUGGGGUAUUCAAGAGAAGCAAAUCAUGGCUCAGAUUAAGAAACUCUCUAUCCAAAUUGAAAAGCUGUGGGAGCAAAAAGCCAGACUUCUAUGGAUUCGUGAUGGAGAUGCCAAUACUCGGUUUUUUCACUUAACAACCAUUCAUCGUAGAGCACAAUCUCAGAUUUCCUCUAUCAAUUAGAACGGUUUGAAUCUUACUGCCCGAGAGGAUAUUGCAGAUGCUUUUCAGGCUCACUUCAAGGCACUUUAUACAUCCUCAAAUAUUUCUCCACCAGAUUCAUACUUCUCCCACAUACAGGGUCGUGUGACCUCGGAAGAUAAUCGAAGACUUCUGGCACCAGUUACACAAGAAGAAAUUCAGAGUACUGUUAUGAGAAUGUCAGGUCUUAAAGCUCCAGGGCCGGAUGGUUUUUCAGGAGUUUUCUACCAUAAGAAUGGUUUCAUUAAAGGGAGAAAUAUUCAAGACAAUAUUCUCAUAGGACAUGAGAUUUUGCACAGCAUGAAAAAUAAAAGAGCGCGCAUGGAUUGCAUGGCUGUCAAAUUGGACAUUAGCAAAGCCUAUGAUAGGCUAGAGUGGAACUUCAUUCGAUCCACCCUAUCUAAUUUUGGUUUCGAUCCUCAUUGGAUAAAGCUCAUCAUGUUUUGUGUGGAAUCUACUAGUCUUUCCAUUCUUCUCAACGGGACGCCAUUACCUUUUUUCAACCCUACGAGAGGGAUUCGUCAAGGAGAUCCAUUAUCUUCCUAUCUUUUCAUUUUGUGUGUUGAAGUUCUCUCACAUCAUUUGUCUGUGGCCCUCCUUGAUAAGCGAAUUCAUGGAUUCGCCCUUCUCGACUUGUAGAGCAUAUUUCUCAUUUGGCAUUUGCGGAUGAUAUUAUACUUUUUGGUCAGGCUACAUCUCAUGAAAUCAGGGCUUUCAAUCUAUUUUGGAUGAGUAUUGUCAUUUCUCCGGGCAAGCCUUGAAUCUCAACAAGACGAGGGCUCAUUUUAGUCCUAACGUAUCAUCUGGCCUAAAGAGACUUUUAUUCGAGAGAUUUCACAUUAAUCCGUCUGGGCAUAUUGAUACCUAUCUGGGAGUUCCUUUUUCAGGAGGGAAAUUAUCUAAAGCCAAGUGUUUGGACCUUCUUCAAAGAGUCAAUUCUCGCCUGUCCCACUGGAAAUCCAAGUUUCUCAGCUCGGCAGGGAAGCAAGUUUUGAUACAAUCUACACUUUCAGCUCUUCCACUUCACUUCAUGUCAUGCUUCAAACUCCCUGCAUCAGUUUUAUCUCUUCUUGACUCUUCAAGCCGGAGAUUCUUUUGGUUCAAUGGAGAAAAAAAGCUCAUCCAUACCAUCGCGUGGACCAAGAUUUGCCGGUCUAGGAAAUCAGGGGGGUCUUAACCUUAAGCUUUCAACCCCCAUGAACCAAGCUCUACUUGCAAAAAAAGCUUGGCAACUUCUCAAUCCUUCAUGUUCUCGCUGGGGAGGAUCAUGAAAGCUAAAUACUUCCCACAUUGCAGUUUCAUUGAUGCUAGUUGUAGCUCCACAUCAUCAUGGGGCUGGAAAUCUAUAAUUUAUGGUAGAGAUCUUCUUAUGAAAGGUCUUCACAUCCGGCUCGGACAUGGCAGAUUCAUUAAUCCAUGGAUAGACCCUUGAAUUCCCAAGAUUGCUACCUCUGCGGCCCCAUUUCCCUUACCCUUUAAUGCUCCAAAAACUGUGGCAGAGUUCAUUGGCUUCGAAGAUUUACAUUGGGAUACUGAGAUGGUGAAAUUUUGGUGGCCUCCCCACAUAGCUAAUAUUAUUCUGUGAUUCUGUCCAUUCUUAUUCCUCUUACCAAUGGUGAGGAUUCUUGGAUUUGGUCUGCUACCUCUAGUGGAAUUUUUUCAGUGUCUUCUGCAUACCGUUUGGCCUCAGAUCCGCAAAACUCCAUCACCAAUCCUCUUUGGGAGAAACUUUGGCACAUACCUAUUGCCCCCAAGGCAAAAAUACACACUUGGAAAGUGAUGCUGGAUAGAGCCCCUAUACCUUCAAUUCUUAAUCUUAGGGGUCUCAAUAUCAGUUCCCAAUGCCCAUUCUGCCAAGCUACCAACAUGAGUCAAGACCAUCUUUUCCUCCUUUGUCCUUUCUCUAGCUCCAUAUGGACCAUUGUUGGUUUUGGUUUUAAUCAACAUAAUUUUGCAUCCAUUCAAGAGUGGGUUUCCUCCAUUAUGGAUCCAGAACUUCUAAGAGGCUUAAGGAUUGGUUCUCUGUUCUUAUGAUCAGUGUUAUUUGGAAUAUCUGGCUAGCAUAUUUGGAUCUCAAUUUUAGAAAUAUUACUCACUCGCCUUCAGCAUUGGCUUAUAAAUGCAUCCAAUUCUCUCGAGACUACUGCAGUCCUCCAUCUUUUGAUGCUAGUCCUGCCUUGACAUGGAACAUUAAGUGGGAUCCUCCAACUUAUGGUUUUCUAAAGAUUAAUGUCGAUGGAUCUGCGAUUGGUUGUCCUGGUGGUCUCUUGCGGGAUAAUCAUGGAGGCUUUCUGUUUGGUUUUGCUGGUCCAAUUGGUCUCUCUUAUGCCAAUGUUGCUGAAGCCUUAGCAGUUCGCCAAGCCCUUCAUUUAGCGGCUGCUCGUGGAUUUCAAUACAUCAUUGUGGAGAGCGAUAACCAAUUGGUGAUUAACUUAUUAUCGCAGAAGACUGUUAAUCCCCCUUGAGGAUUAGUCAUAUUAUACAUGAUUGCAUAUCCCUUGCUUCUCGUUUCUCUAACGUCGUCUUUCAACAUUGUUUUAGGCAAGGCAACUUUGUUGCUGAUGCUCUUGCCAAUUUUGGUCGCAAUUCUGCUACUUUGGCUGUAUGGGAGAACAACCCUCCUCCUUUUACCUCGACUUUAUUAUUGAAUGACCGUGUCGGCUCCUCUAGGACACGUCUUGUAAAUUCUAGAGCUACGGCUCCUUUAAUAUAAGUUGUUUUUUUCGGUUCA